GACAGAGGAGGCAAGCGUUAUCCGGAAUUAUUGGGCGUAAAGCGUCCGUAGGUGGCUUGGCAAGUCUGGGGUUAAAGCCCGGAGCCUAACUCCGGAUCGGCCCUGGAAACUGCCAGACUAGAGUGAGGUAGGGGUUGCGGGAAUUCCCGGUGUAGCGGUGAAAUGCGUAGAUAUCGGGAAGAACACCAGUGGCGAAAGCGCGCAACUGGGCCAUUACUGACACUGAGGGAAGAAAGCUAGGGGAGCGAAUGGG
rnacentral:rRNA from 1 species